GUCGAGCGAGCAAUUUUGACGGAAUACUUCGGUAGGAAGUCAGAAGCGCGAGCGGCGGAUGGGUGAGUAACACGUGGGCAACCUGCCCUUUAGCUUGGGAUACCACUUGGAAACAGGUGCUAAUACCAAAUAAGCAGCACGAGCGCAUGCUCAAGCUGAGAAAGGCGGCUUUCGAGCUGUCACUAAAGGAUGGGCCCGCGGUGCAUUAGCUAGUUGGUAAGGUAACGGCUUACCAAGGCGAUGAUGCAUAGCCGAGUUGAGAGACUGACCGGCCACAUUGGGACUGAGACACGGCCCAAACUCCUACGGGAGGCAGCAGUAGGGAAUCUUCCACAAUGGACGCAAGUCUGAUGGAGCAACGCCGCGUGAGUGAAGAAGGUUUUCGGAUCGUAAAGCUCUGUUGUUGGUGAAGAAGGACAAGGGUAGUAACUGAUUCUUGUUUGACGGUAAUCAACCAGAAAGUCACGGCUAACUACGUGCCAGCAGCCGCGGUAAUACGUAGGUGGCAAGCGUUGUCCGGAUUUAUUGGGCGUAAAGCGAACGCAGGCGGGAGAAUAAGUCAGCUGUGAAAGCCCCCAGCUUAACUGGGGAAGUGCAACUGAAACUAUUUUUCUUGAGUGCAGAAGAGGAGAGUGGAACUCCAUGUGUAGCGGUGGAAUGCGUAGAUAUAUGGAAGAACACCAGUGGCGAAGGCGGCUCUCUGGUCUGUAACUGACGCUGAGGUUCGAAAGCAUGGGUAGCGAACAGGAUUAGAUACCCUGGUAGUCCAUGCCGUAAACGAUGAGUGCUAAGUGUUGGGAGGUUUCCGCCUCUCAGUGCUGCAGCUAACGCAUUAAGCACUCCGCCUGGGGAGUACGACCGCAAGGUUAAAACUCAAAGGAAUUGACGGGGGCCCGCACAAGCGGUGGAGCAUGUGGUUUAAUUCGAAGCAACGCGAAGAACCUUACCAGGUCUUGACAUCUAGUGCCAGUCCUAGAGAUAGGAUGUUUCCUUCGGGAACACUAAGACAGGUGGUGCAUGGCUG
rnacentral:rRNA from 1 species